rnacentral:rRNA from 1 species
CAUGUCUUUAUGAAUUUAAUUUAAAGUCUAAUCUGCUCAAUGAAUAAUUAAAUUGCCGCAGUAUUUUAACUGUGCAAAGGUAGCAUAAUAAUUAGCUUUUUGAUUAGAAGCUGGAAUGAAUGAUUGGACGAGAAUAUGACUGUCUUUUUUUAAAUUUUUAUUGAAUUUUAUUUUUAAGUUAAAAAGCUUAAAUUUUUAUAAAAGACGAGAAGACCCUAUAGAGUUUAAUAUAUUUUUAUUAUUAAUUUUUAGAAAAUUUUUUAAUUAUUUUAUAUUUAGUUGGGGUGACUUGAAGAUUUAAUAAAUUCUUUAAUUUAUAAAUUGAUGAUAAUUAAUUUUAGUAUCUAAAUUUUUUAAAUUUAAAAUAAAUUACCUUAGGGAUAACAGCGUUAUUUUUCUUUAAAGUUCAUAUUGAAAGAAAAGUUUGCGACCUCGAUGUUGGAUUAAAAUAAAUUUUUGGUGCAGUAACUUAAAAAUUUGGUCUGUUCGACCUUUAAUAUUUUACAUGAUCUGAGUUUAAACCGGUGUAAGCCAGGUUGGAUUCUAUCUUUAGAAUUUUAAUAUAUUUUAGUACGAAAGGACCAAAUAUAUAUUAAAUAUUAAUUG